rnacentral:rRNA from 1 species
UACGGAGGGUGCAAGCGUUACUCGGAAUCACUGGGCGUAAAGCGCGCGCAGGCGGCUAUUUAAGUUGGAUGUGAAAGCCUACGGCUCAACCGUAGAACUGCAUCCAAAACUAUUUAGCUAGAGUGUGGGAGAGGAAGAUGGAAUUAGUUGUGUAGGGGUAAAAUCCGUAGAGAUAACUAGGAAUACCAAAAGCGAAGGCAAUCUUCUGGAACACUACUGACGCUGAGGCGCGAAAGCGUGGGGAGCAAACGGGAUUAGAUACCCGAGUAGUCC